rnacentral:rRNA from 1 species
GAUGAACGCUGGCGGCGCGCCUAAUACAUGCAAGUCGAGCGAACUGAUUAGAAGCUUGCUUCUAUGACGUUAGCGGCGGACGGGUGAGUAACACGUGGGCAACCUGCCUGUAAGACUGGGAUAACUUCGGGAAACCGAAGCUAAUACCGGAUAGGAUCUUCUCCUUCAUGGGAGAUGAUUGAAAGAUGGUUUCGGCUAUCACUUACAGAUGGGCCCGCGGUGCAUUAGCUAGUUGGUGAGGGAACGGCUAACCAAGGCAACGAUGCAUAGCCGACCUGAGAGGGUGAUCGGCCACACUGGGACUGAGACACGGCCCAUACUCCUACGGGAGGCAGCAGUAGGGAAUCUUCCGCAAUGGACGAAAGUCUGACGGAGCAACGCCGCGUGAGUGAUGAAGGCUUUCGGGUCGUAAAACUCUGUUGUUAGGGAAGAACAAGUACAAGAGUAACUGCUUGUACCUUGACGGUACCUAACCAGAAAGCCACGGCUAACUACGUGCCAGCCGCCGCGGUAAUAC